ACUCCUACGGGAGGCAGCAGUAGGGAAUAUUGGGCAAUGGGCGCAAGCCUGACCCAGCGACGCCGCGUGAGGGAUGAAGGUCUUCGGAUUGUAAACCUCUUUCAGUAGGGAAGAAGCGAAAGUGACGGUACCUAAAGAAGAAGCACCGGCUAACUAUGUGCCAGCAGCCGCGGUAAUAC
rnacentral:rRNA from 2 species